ensembl:snRNA U6 U6 spliceosomal RNA
GUGCUCGCUUUGGCAGUAUACAUGCUAAAAAAAUUGGAGUGAUACAGAGAAUAUUAGCAUGGCCCCUGAGCAAGGAUGACAUACAAAUUUGUGAAGCUUUCCAUUUUUUA